CCCUUAGAUGCUCUGGGCCGCACGCGCGCUACACUGGUCGAUGCAACGAGUUUCUUUCCUUGGCCGACAGGCCUGGGCAAUCUUUGAACAUCGAUCGUGAUCGGGAUAGAUUCUUGUAAUUUUUGAUCUUAAACGAGGAAUUCCUAGUAAACGCAAGUCACCAGCUUGCAUUGAUUACGUCCCUGCCCUUUGUACACACCGCCCGUCGCACCUACCGAUUGAAUGGUCCGGUGAAAUCUCCGGACUGGCGUGAGUCGGAGCAAUCUGACAAACACCGGAAAGUUGAUUAAACCUUACCAUUUAGAGGAAGGUGAAGUCGUAACA
rnacentral:rRNA from 1 species